CGGGGCGUGGCGCAGUUUGGUAGCGCGCCUGCUUUGGGAGCAGGAGGCCGCGGGUUCGAAUCCCUCCGCCCCGACCA
rnacentral:tRNA from 1 species